UAAAACCAACAAAAAACAAUAACCUAAGUAUUGAGUAUAUAUUAUCCAGUACAAUUGAUGAAACUAUACACCAUACUCUCCAGAUGGAUUUCACACAAACUUUUAAGUUUUAAUUUCACAAUCAUUUGAAAAGUGAUAUGCACAGUUAAGGUAAAAUUUUGUUUCUCUUUUCCUCCUAGUCCACCUACCUAGUCCACCUAGAAACAGUGCUGUCUGAUAGAACUUUACAGAAAGUUCUAAUCUAUGCUGUCCAAUAAGACUACACUGUGGAAUCAGAAUCAUCUAGUCCAACAUUUAACAGCAUGCCUUGAAUUCUUUCUAGAAUAUCUACAAGAUUGUUUGAACAGCUCCAGACAUGGGGGACUCGCCAUCUGAUAUCUGAUAACGGACUUCCUAUAAAGCAGGAAGGAUGGUUUCCUGAUGACAAACGCUUCAGUAUCAAGACAUGGAAAGAUAGCACUUGGCCGCCAAUAACGAAUUGCACCAAAGUUACAAAUGCGAACCAAGUCCUGGUAAAUAAUAUUAAUGAUGAUGACCAUUUUGUCUCAUGCUAAAAAUGUCAUAUAGAUCUUAGCAUUAUGAGGAUACUAUGGAUAUCCUUCCAGAAUGUAAUCAAACCAAACUGAUGCUCAAGAGAAACUUUGAACUAAACGUGUAAAUUAGGCUACCAAGGAUAAAUAAGAACUACCUAAGUCACUCUGUUCCUCAGUAGAACACAAUCAUAGAAGCCAUUUAUGCAGGACAGUGUUUGUUUUUAGUUUCCGGGAUCUAUCUGAGUAGUUUAUAACUGGUGGCAGGGAAAGAAAGAAAAGGCUGCAAAGAUUGAACAAACAGCAUGCACUGUGGUAUCCUUUAUUUAAAAAUUGUGAGCUAACUAUAGUUGUAGUGUUCUCAUUUACCAUUCUGAUGGCAUAAUGAACAGGGAGAACAUUAACACAAUUUCAAGAAGGCAUUAAAAACCUGUCAACAAACAUACACACCACACAUGCGCACACACAUGACACACACACAAAUAAGAUUAUAGUCUAACACAAAAGUGAUGAAGAAAAGCUUUGAAUGCUCUAAAUCAAAUUAAAAACCCUUUAUUAUAAUAAACUGUGAAUACGGUGGCUAUUAUGAAAAAUAUUGUAACUGUUUAAAAAGCAAAAAGGAAAAAUACUGGCAGUUUGAAACUAGCAGCAAAAAGCAGAUAAAAAUAGAAUGGAAGAUAACAUAAGACUAAGUAAUACCAAAAUUCUAAUGUUGAUACCGUGUAGGAUUGCACUGAAGUAAUUUCAAAUUGGUUCUCAAGGAACUACUAACAAGUCCCUUGGAAUAUUGACUUGCUGUACUUUACGAACAGUGGAAAAGAAAAAAGUAUUUGGAAUGUUACACACACACGCAGAUGAAAUGUAUUAGGCAUAUCAGUUAUGGUCUUUGUUUACGACCUUCAAAAAGUUUUAUCAAGAAAAAUUUAAGUGCCAAUGUAGUG